ACCUGGAUGGCUCAGUCGGUUAAGCAUCUGACUCUAGCUCAGGUAAUGAUCUCACGGUUCGUGGGUUCGAGCCCCGCAUCGGGCU
rnacentral:tRNA from 1 species